GCCAGACUCCUACGGGAGGCAGCAGUCGGGAAUAUUGCGCAAUGGAGGAAACUCUGACGCAGUGACGCCGCGUAUAGGAAGAAGGUUUUCGGAUUGUAAACUAUUGUCGUUAGGGAAGAUACAAGACAGUACCUAAGGAGGAAGCCCCGGCUAACUACGUGCCAGCAGCCGCGGUAAUACGUAGGGGGCAAGCGUUAUCCGGAUUUACUGGGUGUAAAGGGAGCGUAGACGGCAAUACAAGUCGGAAGUGAAAUACCCGGGCUCAACCUGGGAACUGCUUUGGAAACUGUAUGGCUAGAGUGCUGGAGAGGUAAGCGGAAUUCCUAGUGUAGCGGUGAAAUGUGUAGAUAUUAGGAGGAACACCAGUGGCGAAGGCGGCUUACUGGACAGUAACUGACGUUGAGGCUCGAAAGCGUGGGGAGCAAACAGGAUUAGAUACCCUCGUAC
rnacentral:rRNA from 1 species